rnacentral:rRNA from 1 species
UGACUGAGUGGCGGACGGGUGAGUAACGCGUGGGUAACCUGCCUCAUACAGGGGGAUAACAGUUAGAAAUGACUGCUAAUACCGCAUAAGACCACAGAGCCGCAUGGCUCGGUGGGAAAAACUCCGGUGGUAUGAGAUGGACCCGCGUCUGAUUAGGUAGUUGGUGGGGUAACGGCCUACCAAGCCAACGAUCAGUAGCCGACGUGAGAGGGUGACCGGCCACAUUGGGACUGAGACACGGCCCAAACUCCUACGGGAGGCAGCAGUGGGGAAUAUNUGCACAAUGGGGGAAACCCUGAUGCAGCGACGCCGCGUGAGCGAAGAAGUAUUUCGGUAUGUAAAGCUCUAUCAGCAGGGAAGAAAAUGACGGUACCUGACUAAGAAGCACCGGCUAAAUACGUGCCAGCAGCCGCGGUAAUACGUAUGGUGCAAGCGUUAUCCGGAUUUACUGGGUGUAAAGGGAGCGUAGACGGCUGUGUAAGUCUGAAGUGAAAGCCCGGGGCUCAACCCCGGGACUGCUUUGGAAACUAUGCAGCUAGAGUGUCGGAGAGGUAAGUGGAAUUCCCAGUGUAGCGGUGAAAUGCGUAGAUAUUGGGAGGAACACCAGUGGCGAAGGCGGCUUACUGGACGAUGACUGACGUUGAGGCUCGAAAGCGUGGGGAGCAAACAGGAUUAGAUACCCUGGUAGUCCACGCCGUAAACGAUGACUACUAGGUGUCGGGGAGCAAAGCUCUUCGGUGCCGCAGCAAACGCAAUAAGUAGUCCACCUGGGGAGUACGUUCGCAAGAAUG